rnacentral:rRNA from 1 species
CACGUAGGAGGCGAGCGUUAUUCGGAUUUACUGGGCGUAAAGCGCGUGUAGGCGGCUGAUCAAGUUGGAUGUGAAAGCUCCCGGCUUAACUGGGAGAGGACGUUCAAAACUGAACAGCUUGAGUAUGAGAGAGGAAAAUGGAAUUCCGGGUGUAGUGGUGAAAUGCGUAGAUAUCCGGAGGAACACCAGUGGCGAAGGCGAUUUUCUGGCUCAAGACUGACGCUCAGACGCGAAAGCUAGGGUAGCAAACGGG